GUGUUGUAUGAAAGGAGCACUCCCCUUGACAAGGAUGGAAGAGGACCUCGGUCCUGACAACACACAUAUGGUUAAGGCAUUGCCAACCACUGCGUGGCAUCUAACCAUCGUUGANN
ensembl:snRNA